GGGCUCGUAGCACAACGGUUAGUGCAGCCGGCUCAUAACCGGACGGUUGCAGGUUCAAAUCCUGCCGGGCCCACCA
rnacentral:tRNA from 2 species